AAAUCUCCAUCUGCUGCAGCUUCUGCAUACACACACUGCCAAGUCUCCAUGUCCGGCGCCCCCUGAGCCUGAGCCUGCUCUCUCCCUUUCUCUCUCCUCAGGCCCUCCCCUCCCUCCUUGGCCUUUUUAUUCACCGCACACACUCCUGCACUACCACACACACACACACAAACACACUCAACACUUGAGCUGGGAGAAGCUGAGGCGUUUUCGUUCUCCUUCUCGUGCCGCUGGCCGGCCGGCCCGGCUGGUGGCUACCUAGCUAGCUCGAUCGUGUUAUCUCGUACAAAGCUUGGAGUCGAAUUGAAGGCACGAUGAAACUCUGCAGCGUUGCGGCGGAGAGGAGCUCUGUGACCGGCAAGCCCCAUGUGCAGGAAGUGUCCGCUUGGCAUGAAGAGCCGAGAGAGCGUCCGGUGUGGCCACCGGGAGCAGCAGUUCAGAUGGUUCAUGCGUAGUAUUAUCAUGGCGUUAUCCUGAUUGAGCUUUUCAUUCAAGCCACCGUUCUCAUCCUUCUUCAUAUUCUUUGUAUCCCAAUGUUUGUGGUUUCGCAAGGUGAGGUCUUCUUGACCUUGCAAGACCUUUUCUUGACCUUGUAAGACCCAACUCUGCGACAUCUCUUUCCUUCGACUCAAUCUUCUCUGUCUUACACCUUCCUCUUCAUUCUUACUUCUUUUCUAUGUCUAUCCCUUCUGAGCUGUGUUGAGCUAUGUUAGGUCCUAGUUAAGUAUUUUAGGGUAUAGGUGUGUUCACCGUGAGGUGAAUAGCUAGUGUGUUGCCUCUCAUAUGUGUAAUGAUAUGAACUCUCAUUGUGAAAAACUAUCCCUUUGUUGUAUAUUUUGUUUUGAUGGUUGCUAGUGUGCUGUAGAUGAAACAUACAAAAGCAUGUUCCUGUUGCGCCAUGAGCCCAUGAUGCUCAGGCAUGUGAAGUAGGCGCCUACUUGUACUGCUUCAAUGGAAUAAGAUGGCUAUGUACUGCUUCAAACA